AAAAAUUUGGCGGUAUUUUAGUCUAUUCAGAGGAACCUGUUUUGUAAUCGAUAAUCCACGAUGGACCUUACUUAAAUUUGUAUUCAGUUUAUAUACCGUCGUUAUUAGAAUAUUUUAUAAGAAAGUUAAUUUUCAAGAUUUUUAAAGAGAAAAUAUAUCAGAUCAAGGUGUAGCUUAUAUUUAAGUAUAAAUGGGUUACAAUAAUAUUAUUUAUACGAAUAUAAAUAUGAAAAAUUUAUUGAAGGUGGAUUUGAUAGUAAAAUUAUAUAGAUUAUUAAUUUGAUUUUAGCUCUAAAAUAUGCACACAUCGCCCGUCACUCUUAUUAUUAAGGUAAGAUAAGUCGUAACAUAGUAGAUGUACUGGAAAGUGUACCUAGAAUGCAAUUUAAAGCUUAUUAAGUAAAGCAUUUCAUUUACAUUGAAAAGAUUUUUGUGCAAAUCAAUAUAAAUUGAUUAGAUUUUAUUUAUUAGUUUUGUUAUUUUAUGAUUUAAUUUAUUAAAAAUAAUUAUUAAAUGAUUAGUUUAAGUAUUUUAUAAAGAAAAAAUAAUAUUAAUUAUAGUUGAAUAGUAUUGUGAAAGAAAAUUGAAAUAAUUUGAAAAAU
rnacentral:rRNA from 1 species